rnacentral:rRNA from 1 species
UACGAAGGGGGAUAGAGUUGUUCGGAAUUACUGGGAGUAAAGCGCACGUAGGCGGAUUAGUAAGUCAGGGGUGAAAUCCCGGGGCUCAACCUCGGAAUUGCCAUUGAUACUGUUGAUCUCGAGUACGGAAGAGGUGAGCGGAAUUCCUAGUGUAGAGGUGAAAUUCGUAGAUAUUAGGCAGAACACCAGUUGCGAAGGCGGCUUACUGGUCCGGUACUGACGCUGAGGGGCGAAAGCGCGGGGAGCGAACAGG